AGUUAGACCAGCACCAUUUGUUGAAGAUGCUGUCUUUUUUCCAUUGAAUGAUUUUGGCUUCUUUGUCAAAAAUCAAGUAUCCUAUCUUCUGUAGCAAGAGAGAGUAACAACCUGUGAGGUGCACAGCUUAACACAAUUGACUUUGGGACCUACGUCCGGAAAAUACAAAGAAGUUAAAGAGAUAUCAAGGUUGUGCGUGUCUGAAGAUAAGGAGAAACAUGUUGAGAACAGUAAACAAUCUGAAGUCAAUUAUCACCUUUCAUCAUGGAGGCUCCAGUGAUGAGAAGCAAUCUAUCAAGCUGAUGAUCGGGAGCCUUCAUCUGUUAAGCUAUCUCACUUGUCUCUGCUUGACCAUUCUUAGUGUUAGGUAUGCUUAGUAUGUUUGCAUUAAUAGAAGUUAAAAAGAAAUGCACAUUUUAAAAAUUUUAAUUCUCACCAGCUUAUUAACUUUUUAUAACAAAUGUAUGUCGUCUUCCUAAUAGUAACUAAUUCUCUAACUCAUUGAAUCAACUGUACAAGGAAGCUAUGAUAGUACAGAGUUAGUUUACAUCUCACAUGUAGGAUUUGGUCCUACAUGACUGCAGUCCAUUGAGAUGUCACUAGCAAGUACUGAUUCUUGGGUUAUCUGUUUAUACUUUGUCUUAUUUGGCUACAGAUUAAAAGUUAGUGUCUUAGUUUGGGUUAUAUUGCUGUGAAGAGACAUUAUGUCCAUGGCAACCCUUAUAAAGGGAAACAUUUAACUGAGUCUGGCUUAAAGUUUCAGAGGAUUAGUCAUGGUAGGACUCAGGACAGCAUACAGGCUGACAUGGUGCUGGAGGAGAUGAGAAUUAUACAUCUUAUUCGGCAGGCAGCAAGAGACUGUGUGCCACAUGGGGCAUAGCUUGAACAUAGGAGACCUUAACGCCCACCCUCAAGGUGACACACUUCCUCCAAAAAGAGCACAUCUAAUCCAGUAAGGCUACACCCCCCAAUAGUGCCACUCCUUAUAGGGCCAAGUAUUCAAAAACAUGACUUUAUGGGGGCCAUACCCCUUCAUACCGCUAAAGUGCAUAUCAUUCAUUACCUUCUAAAGUCCAAUUGUUUGAGAGCAAUGAUGGAUCAUGGAACUUUAAAAAAAAGUAAUUAGUAUAUUGUACAGGAUACAAUAAUGAAUAUAAGUAAGUAUAUAGGAACAGGUAAACAUAUGUCAAGUUCAAAAAAUAAAAACUCUAUCCUGAUCAGCUAGGACAUAUUUUCUGUUUGUAAUGUGAAUAUGCUCACCAUCUCAGAGACGAAUAUUGAUAAUGCACUAAAUACUUAAUAGAUUACAUAUUAAGCUGUUAUGAAAAAUUAUGUAGCCUAUGUAAAUGAUUACUAUAGUUCAUUUGGCAUAAUGAGAAAUUAGGUUGUGAUACUGUGAACACUUCUUUUUGCAUUGGGUUUUAAUUUUUAUUUGUUUUGUUUUGUUUUGUUUUGCUGUUGGGUGUCCAUCUGCCCAAAGUUGGAGAACCAUGGCUGGCAGCAAUUAGGUAACAAGGAUCUCAGACCCACAGCUUAAAGCAACUGUGUUCUGUCAACAAACACAAACUUGGAAGAAGCACCUAAAAUUCAGGAAGGAGUAGAGAGUGUUGCCAAUAGCUUGAUUGAUUUCAUCCCUCUGAGGUCCCAAGAAAAGGAUUUGGCUAAGCAGUAUUUGGAAUAAAGCCUAAGAAAGCUCAAAAGUAGUAAAUACAUUAUUUUUAAGCUGCUGUGGUGUGAGUUUCACUGAUGGCCUCUUUAAACUCUAGAGCAAAGGUCCUCUGAUGAACAGACACACCUGACCUUGAUGAUUUGCUCAGGUAUGUAGGCUCCACAUCACAAAGGUACUUCUUCUACACACACACACAUACACACACACACACACACACACACACACACACAAAAGCUCAAAUGCAAUGUAAAAGUGGUAGGAGUAAGUGGAAAACCAGCUUGGCUAAAUAUUUUAACUAGAGUACAUUUGGUGCUCAUGGUUAGCAUAAUGCUCAAAACUUCUUUAACAAGAGUUGAGCAUGUGCCUCAGCAGCAGAAUUCUUGCCUAUGUGUGAAAGGCUUUCAGUUUGAUUCCCAUCAUUAUAAAAAUAUAACAAAAUUAAAGAAAAAAAAAAACAACAAACAAACAAACAGGGCCCGCCCUGGAAUGGGCGGGCAUGGGAGUGUUAGCAGGCCUUCUGCUGUUGGUCUCCUUGGUUUGCCUGUGGUAUAUAUGCAAGAUUAGAGUCUCACAACAGUGUGAUGCAGUCAUGAUCAUUCAGGCCUUUACAGCCAUUGAAGCAGGACAUUCUCCCCAAGCAUGGUUGGAUACCAUAAAAAGCUAAAAUGAUACGCUCAGGAUGCGAGGCUAAGCACUGCACUCAGGGUCAGCCGCUUUGGACCCAGAGAAGAGCAUGUCUGAUUGCAUGUGGGUUGAUGCCCCAGGUCCCGCCUCUGAGAAAAAGGUAUCAGACGGGUCUGAUGCUCUUUGGGUGGAUGACACCUAAAUGAACAUUGGUACAAAGUCCCAAUUUAUUUCUAAUAUCAGAGAUCAGACCUCUACUCUUGCCUGAUGCAUCUAAAACAAAAAGGGGGAACUGUAGAGAGCUGCGUAAUGCCGCGCCUGAAAGAUGGAGCUGGUUUCUGCCUUCCACCUUCCUGAUGGUGAGUGCUCUCUGUCACGAACAAUUCCACAUUUGGCUAAGGCCGAGGAUCUGGCUUGCUUCCAUGUAUGUGGACCUAUCUGCAUUGCCCCCGUGGCACGCCUGGGUUGGCUACCCAGAGGCUAUUUAAGCUGUGGGCUGGCUUUUCCCGGGGUCCGAGGAUUGUUCAAGGUUCCUGAAUAAACUGAAUUGAAAAAAACAAACAAACAAACAAAAAAAAAAAAAAAAAAACCAAACAGGGCAUGGCUCCAGAGGCCUGUAAUUCCUACUACUCAGGGAUCUAAUACAGAAGAAACACAAAUGCAAAGAUUUAGUGUAUUGUGAGUUCAAGGUCAGCCAUAGGGACAAUGUUUAAUAUUGUCCCUGAAAACAAACAGAAAACAAACAAACAAACAAACAAAACCCAAUCAAACUAUAACAUUUUCUUUAAAUAGGCUGAUUUUAGGUAAGAACUGAUGCAAUCAAUUAAUCCAUAUCCUGGUUUCUUCAGAGUCUCAAAAGACACAUCUUUUGGAUUUUAGAAUCUUACUUGUAUUAUAUGGCUACUUUAGAGACAUUUUAAAGAACAUGAUGAAAGUCUGACUUAAAUAAAAGAGGCAAACUAUAAACUUUGUCAAAAUACUAUUGAAAUACUAUGAGAAUUUGUUUUGUUUUGUUUUGUUUUGUUUUGUUUUGUUUUGAGACAGGAUUUGUCUGUGUAGCUUGGCUGUCCUGGACUCACUUUGUAGACCAGGCUCAUUUGAACUCACAGAGAUCUGCCUGCCUUUGCUUCCCUGCAUGCUGAGAUUACAGGUGUAUAUGACCUUAUUGCUAUUAAUACUGUCGCUAAAGUUGCACAUAUAUAUACAUAUAUAUACAAAAAUAUUAUAUGCACAUAUAUGAUAUGAAAAUAAGCAAACACUUAUUAAU